rnacentral:rRNA from 1 species
GCUCACUUGUGCCGAAGAUAGUUGGCUGGAAACGGCCUGUGAAAAUAGGUAGAUGCCGGCU